GACGAACGCUGGCGGCGUGCCUAACACAUGCAAGUCAACUUGACUGAAGGAGCAAUCUGACAGUAGAGUGGCGCAAGGGUGCGUAACGCGUAAGUAACUUGCCCAAGGUAAGGAAUAACGUCGAGAAAUCGGCGCUAAUACCUCAUAAUGCAGCGGAUCCGCAUGGAUAUGUUGUUAAAGGUUUACCGCCUUGGGAUAGGCUUGCGUCUGAUUAGUUAGUUGGUGUGGUAACGGCACACCAAGGCUACGAUCAGUAACUGGUCUGAGAGGAUGAUCAGUCACACUGGAACUGAGACACGGUCCAGACUCCUACGGGAGGCGGCAGUGAGGAAUAUUGGGCAAUGCUCGAAAGAGUGACCCAGCAACGCCGCGUGGAGGAUGAAGGUAUUCUAUAUCGUAAACUCCUGUGAGAGCAGACGAAAGACAGAUUAUUAAUCUGGAUGACUGUAUGCUCAGAGGAAGCCCCGGCUAACUACGUGCC
rnacentral:rRNA from 1 species